AGCAGCUUACUAACUUACCAAGGCUUAUACUAACUUACCAAUGAUUACUAGAUAGAUUACCAGUGAUAAGCAGGUAUUAUUAGGAUUUAGUAUAAUUACAUAGGUGAUUAUUGAAAAUUCUCCACGCUGAUUGGUUGCCGUUGAGGUGAUUAUUACGCGAUAAUCACCUAAGCGAUUUCAAAAUGGCGGCCAAAGCCUUUUUGUCAAUUAAAUGACGAAGAAAUGUGUAUUUUCUUAUUU